UAAUGAUGGUAAUAGGAAGACCGGCGGUUAAAUAGAGUUUAUGCAAGUGUAAAUUGGAGUUGCUUCGCAGCCCAUCGAAACGUGACUCAGCCGGGAGGAAGCGUGUGGGCGUCUGCGUGCGUCCGUGUGCGCCGUGCGCGAUUGCUCAAAGCGGAGCUGAACCGUAAUGGCCGUGGUGUACGAGGGGAGCAGGACUGUCGCAUCCAGGGCCCCGUGUGAGACCCUGCCUGAGAACAGGAACAGAAACCUAUUGCCUUCCCUUCUGCUUCGACACAAAGCAGCGGAACAGCGAGCACGGCCCUCCAGCCUUUUCUACCAUGCGAUAUUUCACAUUGACAUGAUUAGAAUACCACACGAGCACGUGUCUUGUAGUGGCCUCCUCACUCCGCUUACGGGAAACGGUCGCCCCCUCGUUACUCAGAGCUCGUCACCAUGAACCCGUUGUCCAUCUCUACAAGAGCUGGGCGUCACUCCGCUCCCGGACCCGCGACUGUGCCAGGCCUCUGUCGGCAGCGCUCUCACCGCGGGAGCUAACUCGGGCGACGGAAUAUGCAAUAAAUGACUUACAGUUUUAUCCAUUUAUGGAGCUGGAUGUUUCGCUGAUGUACUCUUCCCAAAGGUACAACAGCACAGCCCUUGUUGGGACUUGUGGGGGAGUCCAAAACACAUAGUACAGCAGCAAAGCACAAAAAUUUGCUAUUCAAAAUUUCCCAGCUCAUUUUCUGUUUAUUUUUAUGCAGCGCAAAAAGAUUGCAUCGCGGCGUCUGCGUUAUUUAAUAACAUAUUAUAACGAGGCUGGCUAACUUCGGUCUUCAAGCAAUGCAACCGUUUCUCUUUCAUUUAAACUUGGAUUGUAUCAUUUAUCGCAACACAUUGUUUGGAUCGGAGCUGGGACCAUUUGAACUUGAGGAUAUUGUGCUUCUAAAUGAAAAAUUUCUUUUAUCGCUUUCCCGGUCCCUGCCGGAAUGCGUCUUUGAGGCCAGUGAGCAACGUAGAGGUUAAAGCCAUCAUGUUACACCUAAAGGGCAUAGGUUUGAAUCCCUGCUACUGCUGUAAUGCCCUUGUGCAAGGCACUCACUCUGAGCUGCGCCAAUGAAAAUUACAGUGGUGUAUAAAUGGUUAAAUAAUUGUAAGUUGCUUAGUUUACACACCCAACACUGUAAGUAAGAUAAAUAAUAGUGAAAAAUAAUAACCUGUUUGAUAGACAAGUGCUGGUUUGGUGACGCUAGUCAGAGACAAGAGCUACGUGUUUAAACAGCUUUUAUUAAUUUCAUUUUGUUCCUAUAAUUAAGCAGCACGGAUUACCAAUGCAGAUAGGCCGCGACCUAAUGAAAAACCCAACAGGACUCAUAUCCCGAGGCGCUCUGUGGGUAUUGAGGAAUGGGGCUGAAAGCACUGUGUCAUAAAGAUUGCUUGAAAAUAGAACAAAGACAUGCCUUAGUGAAACGUGCUCCGCGGGUUCUCUGGGGAUCGGACCGUGCGCUUGGUGGCAGCGACUGUAGCUUGGCCACGCCGGCGUCGUCCGGCAGCCGCGAUAAGUGCAGAAGUGUAAAGUGAGACCACUCAGCCACAGCAUUAAUCACGCAUUCAAAUACACACCAACCCUGCUUCUGGCUUGUAUCUGCACUUAUGCAACAAGGCAAUGCGAUUACUGCUUGUUUCAGGUUCACACAAAAAAACUCAUGUUUUGUUGUGAGCUUUUUUUUUAAGGUAGUGAACUUUACAGUCGAAGCGAAAUAGCACAGGAAACAUAUCCAUACUGGAUUUUACAGUGGCAUGGCUCACCACCUGCGUGUUUGGGAACAUGACAUGGGCCUCGACAUGGGCGCCCCCGCAGCGACCACAAAACAACUGCUGCAAUUACAAACCUCAGAAUGGCAGGACGCGCGCUCUCACUCUACUCACCCAGAGAACUUAUGAACCUCGGAGGACACGCACCAGCAAUAACCAGUAUCUCAGAUGAAAACUCCCAAGCCACAUGAGGCGGAGGUUGGUGGCGUGCCUGCCGCUGUGGUCUGCUGGGGCAACAGGAGCAGAAGAAGGGGCUGACGGCCGGAGCAAAGGAACACAGGGUAUGGGAAAUUCACUUGAAACAUCUGUCUUUGGACUGCGGGAGAAAGCCCAUGCGAACCCCGCAGCGAAUGAACGGGGGUUGAACCCGCAUCUUCUCGCAUCGCUCAGGUGCUGUGAGACAACAGCGCUACUGGAUUGUGGAGGUGAGGCUGUAGGAUUUCACACUGUCCUGUGGGUUUAACACAGGCCACUUUGACAUGUUUGCUGCAGAGUGACUUCCAUGAUUGACAUCAGUGCCUUGCUGGAUGCUGGGCUCCGGGCUGCCGGUUACACGCCGCACGCCCCAGGCCGUCUCCGCGCUCGGCACACAGCCGCUCACAGCCCGAUUGCUAAAUUUGCGGUGAUUCCUUCCUGUGCCACGGUCCUGGGCUCAGUGCAUCCGCCUACGCAAGUAUCCUGCGCAGGACUUUCUCUCGCAGAGCAUUUCUCUUACUCUUGCUCACUUCAGAGCCCAUAUUGAUCUCCUCGCUUCAGUCCCGAGCUGAAAUUGUUAGGUCCGCUUGCUAAGUAUAGCUCGCGAGGCACUCUGUCUAAUCCACGGCCACCUAAUCAUUCUCAUCGGUGCCGCCGAGGGGGAAUUUAAAAGAUCUCCUGGUGAUUUAGUUUGUAGCCAGGCAAGCUGGGGCAGGAGCUGCUGGGAGCCUCGCGCAGCUCUGAUGGCGGAGCCUGCGUCCGCUGUGUUUCAGCUCCCUGUGUCAGCGUGUGUGUGAGUGUGUGCUUGCAGUGUCUGCGUGUGACCGCAUAUUUUUUUUUCAGAUGCCGUCAUUUCACUUUGAUUUAUCUCACUUAAGCAUCCCUGGGUACAUCUCGCUCCAUGACUAAAAUGCAGCCGCAAGGUCACGGGGAACCGGAGCCUACCCGGCAACACAGGG